GCCCCAGUAGCCCAAUUGGCAGAGGCAGGACACUUAAAAUGUCUGUGUUGCGGGUUCGAGUCCCGCCUGGGGCA
rnacentral:tRNA from 1 species